GCCACCGUAGCUCAGUUGGUAGAGCAACUGAUUCGUAAUCAGUGGGUCGCAGGUUCAACUCCUGUCGGUGGCUCCA
rnacentral:tRNA from 1 species